UUUUUUUUUUAAUUCUGGCUCAUUCUGUAUUCUCAGCUGGGUGCCCCUGAGCAGUCUGUCCUUUCUGUGCUGCUGCAGUGGGAUUCAGCUAUAUAAUGGUUCCCACGGUCCCAGAAUUGGACACAGAACUCCAACCAUCCACCAGGGAAGCCUUGGGAACCAGAACUCCUUAUAUCUCAAGACCAGAUGGCUCCAACAUACUGUCUGUCUUCUGUCUAAUGAAGAACAUCGAUUGAACCCAGGGCCUUGUGAAUGUCAGGAGAAAACCCUUCCAAUUAGAAGAAAAAAAAAUCAACUAUCUUUGCUAUAUUUUUCCAAAUUGUACAGCAAAGGGUAUAUAAGAGAUUUUUCCUUGCAUCUAUAAGGUGGGGGGUCUAUUUCACUAGUGUACUGAUACAUUUUAGUAAGAGUAAGUCAUAAAACAUUGUUACUUAUAGAGCCUCUUUAUUGAUAUAGAUUUUUCUGUCUGGCAUAGGUUCUCGUUGAUUAACCAGAGGCUGUCUGAGCACACUGCUUCAUUGGAAAUCCCAAUGUGUGUCGUAUCUUGUUCAGGUUUAGGUGAACUUGUGUUCUUGGACUGUGCUUACUGUCAGCUCUUUCUUUGACUUCAGUGUGUUGUAACCACUAAAUUCUUGUAUUUAUUUCCAUUUUGCCAAUUAGCCUAAGUUGUUAGUGCAAAUUUAUAUGUCCUGGUUCUUCUAAGUCCUUGCCAAUUACUUUGGAACAUUGAACACUUAACUGUGCUUGCUCUGGGGUACUAGCAAUGAAACAGUAAUUAACUUGAGAUAGCUGUCUCCUCUCCUUAAAAGCUAGAAAAUGGGAUUAUACUCCAAUAAACAGGUUUAAGGCAACAUAAUGGCAACUCUUUUGAUAACAAGUUUUACUCAUCAUUAACAUGUUAUUUGGUUUUUCAAACAUUACUUAAACUCUACAGAAAUGAAAGUAUAGGAAAUUAUCAUCUUUCGAUAUCACCAAAUGUUAAUGUAUUAGAGCCGGCUUGGCAUGGCACUGCUCCAGAAUGUACAUAAAUCAUAAAAUGUCCAUCUUGACCAAGUCUGAAUAAUUUGAUUUGCUUCUGCUAUAGUUAUGAAAUGAAUAAAGUUCUCUGAUUAUAUUUCUA